rnacentral:tRNA from 1 species
GGACUGUUAGCUCAGUUGGGUGAGCGUGGUGCUGAUAACACCAAGCUCGUGGGUUCAAUCCCCGUUUGGUCCC